GGAGGAGCUCGCGAAAGUGGAAGUGUGUGUGUGCGCGCGUUCGACGACGGACGGUGAGGCUGAGAGGGAAGGAGGAGGCGGCGGCGGGGGUGGAUUAAACCUGGACUUCAGAUUUGUUUUUGAUUUACUGUACUUUUGUAUUCCUUUGGCUGGGAUGGUGGCGUCAGACGUGUAACAUUGCUGGCUCCUGUGUGACGAGACGGUUCAGACAAAAUGCUAAGACCUCAGCAUUAAGAUGCCGCGGAUCAGAGAGUAAGAAUCCUCUGGCAGAGGAAGCUGUGUAUGUCCGCAGCGCAGAGAAUAUAUCACACUGCAUGAUAUAUUAUUAACAGUACUACAAUAAGAAUGACUGUGUCGGGGAUUGAAGGACACAUUGAAGUAUUGUAACACGACCGCCACAGUACUGUGCUGUCGAACUGAAGAAAAUAUAACGAGAACAAACAUUUACAAUCAAUAACACUGAAUACCACAGGAGACAAAGGCAGUGCCGCAGAUCAGAAGCAUUCAUAAAAUCUAUCCCUGAAGAACAAUUGCAAGAUGUUUCGUCGGUGCUUCAACCGCUGGUGCGGAGGGGACGAAAAGAGAGUGGACAGCAGGACCAUCUACGUUGGACACCGGCGCUGUCCCGGCACAAACACAUACCUCCCUCUCAAAUUCUGUGACAACAGGAUCAUUUCCUCCAAGUACACCGUGUGGAACUUCCUUCCCAAGAACCUCUUUGAACAGUUCAGAAGAAUCGCCAAUUUCUACUUCCUAAUUAUCUUCCUUGUGCAGGUGAUUGUGGACACACCCACCAGUCCAGUGACCAGCGGGCUGCCACUCUUCUUCGUAAUCACAGUGACCGCCAUCAAACAGGGCUAUGAGGACUGGCUCAGACACAAGGCUGACAACGAGGUGAACAAGUACCUGGUGAGCGUGCAGGAGGACGGUGGGGCGGUGCGCAAGGAGAGCCAGGAGAUCAAGGUGGGGGAUGUUGUGGAGGUCACUGAGGAUGAGACCUUUCCCUGCGACCUCAUCCUGCUGCAGUCCACUCGAGACGAUGGUACCUGCUUUGUCACCACGGCCAGCCUGGACGGGGAGUCCAACCACAAGACUCACUUCACAGUGGCGGACACAGAGAAGCAUCUGAAUUCCUUCUACGCCACCAUUGAGUGUGAGCAGCCUCAGCCAGACCUCUAUAAGUUUGUUGGCAGAAUGCACAUCACUAAGGAUGGCCUGGAGCCUAUUGUGAGGUCAUUAGGGCCAGAGAAUCUGCUGCUGAAAGGAGCCACCUUAAAAAACACCAAGAAGAUCUACGGUGUAGCUGUUUACACUGGGAUGGAAACUAAGAUGGCUUUGAACUACCAGGGGAAAUCCCAGAAGCGCUCUGCAGUGGAGAAGUCGAUCAACGCCUUUCUGAUUGUGUACCUCUGCAUCCUCAUCAGCAAGGCCCUGGUGUGCACCACGCUCAAAUACGUGUGGCAGAGCCACCCAGGCCAUGAUGAGCCCUGGUACAACCAGAAAACACAGAAAGAGAAGGAUACCAACAAGUUCCUCAAGAUGUUCACAGACUUCCUGUCGUUCAUGGUCCUGUUCAAUUUCAUCAUCCCGGUGUCCAUGUACGUUACCGUGGAGAUGCAGAAGUUCCUGGGCUCGUUCUUCAUCUCCUGGGACAAGGACUUCUUCGACCCGGAGAUCCAGGAGGGAGCUCUCGUCAACACCUCUGAUCUCAACGAGGAGCUGGGGCAGGUGGAGUACGUGUUCACAGACAAGACAGGCACUCUGACUCAAAAUAACAUGGAGUUCAUCGAGUGCUGCAUCGAUGGCUAUCAGUACAACUACCGGGACUCCAGGACCGAGCUGGACGGGUUCUGUGUCUCCGACGGGCCCGUCAGCAAACUACAAGAGAAGGCAGGCAAGGAGAAGGAGGAGCUGUUCCUGCGGGCGCUGUGCCUGUGCCACACUGUCCAGGUGAAGGAGGGCACGGAGCUGCAUGGCAUGGACGAGGUGGAUGGGAUCGGGGCGAGCGACGAUGCAGAGCAGUGCUGCUACAUCGCCUCCUCCCCAGACGAGGUGGCGCUGGUCAAGGGAGCCAAGAAGUACGGGUUCAUGUUCCUGGGCAUGGAAGGUAAACAUAUGAAAAUGCAGAACAGGAACAAAGACGUUGAGCAGUAUGAGCUCCUCCAUGUGUUGAACUUUGAUCCAGUGAGGCGGCGGAUGAGCGUGAUUGUGAAGACUAAGUCAGGGGAGACGCUUCUGUUCUGUAAAGGUGCCGACUCCUCGGUGUUCCCACGAGUGCAGGCGGAGGAGGUGGAGAGGAUCCGGAUGCACGUGGAGCGCAACGCCAUGGAGGGGUACCGCACCCUGUGCGUGGCGUACAAGUCUCUGAGCUCGGAGGAGUUUGAGCAGAUGGACGCAGCGCUGCAGGAUGCCCGGCUCGCCCUGCAGGACCGUGAGGAGAGGCUGGCACAGGUGUACGACCAGGUGGAGGCGGGCAUGCACCUCAUCGGGGCCACCGCUGUGGAGGACAGGCUGCAGGAGGAGGCUGCAGAGACGAUGGAAGCCCUGCACGGUGCUGGGAUGAAGGUCUGGGUACUCACCGGAGACAAGAUGGAGACAGCCAAGUCCACCUGCUAUGCCUGCCGCCUCUUCCUGAAGAGCACAGAGCUGCUGGAGCUGACUGUGCGCACCCUGGAGGAGGGGGGUCGCCCGAGAGAGGAGAAGCUGCACGAGCUGCUGCUAGACUACCACAAGAGAGCUGUGCAGGACCGGCACAAAGACAAGGACAAGGAGGGGGUCACCAGGAGCUGGUCCUCUGGGUUCCGGGAGUUUGGCUUCAUUGUGGACGGUGCCACGCUGUCUCUGGUGCUGAACGCCUCCCCCGAUGCCAGCGCCAGUCGCUACAAGAGCCUCUUCCUGCAGAUCUGCCAGAACUGCACCGCCGUGCUCUGCUGUCGGAUGGCGCCGCUGCAGAAAGCUCAGAUUGUGAAGAUGGUUAAGAAUUCCAAAGGCAGCCCCAUCACCCUGUCUAUAGGUGAUGGAGCCAACGAUGUCAGCAUGAUACUGGAAGCACAUGUGGGCAUCGGUGUGAAGGGUAAGGAGGGCCGGCAGGCAGUGCGGAACAGCGACUAUGCCAUCCCCAAGCUGAAACACCUGAAGAAGCUGCUCCUGGUGCACGGGCACCUCUACUACGUCAGGAUCGCACACCUGGUGCAGUACUUCUUCUACAAGAAUCUUUGCUUCAUUUUACCUCAAUUCUUAUACCAGUUCUUCUGUGGAUUCUCUCAACAACCCCUGUACGACGCUGCCUACCUGACGAUGUACAAUAUCUGCUUCACCUCCAUGCCCAUCGUGGCCUACAGUCUGCUGGAGCAACACAUCUGCAUUGAGAGCCUGCUGGAAAACGCCUCGCUCUACAGAGGGAUCGCUAAGAACGCAAUGCUGCGCUGGGGUCCCUUCCUGUACUGGACGCUGCUGGGGCUUUUUGAGGGGCUUGUCUUCUUUUUCGGGGUGUACCAGCUCUUCUGGAACCCCGCCCUGGCAGACAACGGGCAGGUUUUUGGAAACUGGACUUUUGGCACAAUUGUGUUUACAGUUCUAGUGUUUACAGUAACCCUGAAGCUGGCAAUGGACACUCGACACUGGACCUGGGUCAACCACUUUGUCAUCUGGGGCUCACUAGCUUUCUACAUCUUCUUCUCUUUCUUCUGGGGAGGAAUCAUAUGGCCCUUCAUGCAGCAGCAGCGUCUCUACUUUGUCUUCGCUAACAUGCUGAGCUCGGUGUCAGCCUGGCUCAUCGUCAUCCUUCUCAUCGUGGUCAGUCUGCUGCCGGACAUCGUGAUCGGGGUCUUCCGCCAGCCGCAGGGGCCAGACCGCCAACAGGUACCGGGGCCGGACCCUGCUGGCUAUGAGACUCGCACUCCUCUGCUGUCGGAGGCAACCUCUGCAGGGGCUACUGAGCAGACAUCGCAGUGUACCAGGAUCUUAUCAACAUUUCAAUACAAACAAAAUCUGAUCCCUGAUUGGAGACCACCCGGGCCUCUGCUGAUUGAGAGCUGAAAUGAAAACAAGCUUAUUAAUAAUGUAUGUCAGGGGGAGUGGCUCCCAGUUCUCACCCUUAAAGACACACCCCUCUGAUACCUUAUUUAUGAGCUAGAUUUCUUCAGCUUUGAGCCCCUGUUUUGUGAUUCUGAGGCUUCCCAAAAUCUGUCCGGGAUGCUUUGAUUUAUCUAUGUGCUCCUGAUUUUUUAGUGUACUUGCCUGGCAGAAAAAAAUAUAAUCACAUCUGAAAAAAAAGUUAGUGCCCCUGCAGGAGCUGUUAUUGAAUUGAAUUGAGUCACCUUUUUAUUUCCUUUGAUCCAAUUCUAAUAAUUGCUGGUGUUGGGUUUUUGUAUGUUGUGUUGUAUGAUGUAAUUUGUCAAAGGUGCAAUACUUGUUGAAGGCUUCUUUUUGUCUUUGAGUGAUAAAGCUGUGUUGUCACUGCAGUGCUUUGGAAAGGAAGUAUUGCACCUUUAGGCUGUUCCAGUGUUUGGCUUGUUCACUGCAUGCUGAUCUCCUCCGCUGACGUUUCUCUGCUAAUAUGCAAUACUGGUGGUUUAGACUGGGACGGGAGUGACUAAUCAAAGGAGCUCAGGAUUUGGUUUGCUUUGAGAAGUUCAUUGAACUGGCAGAACUGAAUGAACAAACAACACUCUUCUGUAGAGAGCGCCAGCGUCACCCCGCUGUCAUACAAACGCUUCAAGGAACUGGACUGAAUAGAGAGGGCUACCCGGAAGGCUGCCAGCACAUCGUGCAGCGUGGAGGUGCCCUAUCUUCAGCUCUGAUCAACACCUUGCCCAGCGACGCACUGUCCUCUCAGUGACGCCUAACAACUGGGUUUCAGGGCAAUUCCUUUUCUUUGCCAGCAGACGAUUCUUGUCUGGCCCAGUUCCAGAGACAGGAGGCAGUGAGGUUGACCUUGUUUCUCUUACAGAACAACAGCCCACUGACCUGGCAAGACUUGCCUGUAACUUAAGAGCGAUCAUUUCUGGCAAUUCCAGUUCUAAACUUCGGGGGGAGGCUGACAAUACCGCGGCCAACAGCUGAACAAUUUUCAAUGAUUCUGCUGGGAUUUAAAUGUAUAUGAUUAUUGGUGGGUGGGGGGGGGGGGGGUGGUUACGUUUUGGAUGGGCAUGUUUUACGAAAAGAAAAGAAAAAGAAUUUUAGAAGAUUUCUGUAUUAAAGAAAUAAAAGAUGUGAUGUGCAAAGAAGGAAACUAGAAAUGCAAUGUGUAAGUGCAAGGGUCGGGCAGCACAGUGUAAACACCUGUGACGUGUAGCACGCACUGGUUUGAAAGGGCUGCCACAUGACCCAUUUUCAUUUGUCAUGCAAACAGUAUCUCGGGUGAUGUUUAAUCAGUGGCCAGUUUUGAGACGUUGCUGCAGAUUUUCUCCCUCCACUUCCAUGAAGGGACUGUAGGAAGUGAUCUUUUGAGGAGUUGUCACAAACUUGUCAUGUCAACCAGUGCUGUCCUGGCGGCCAGGUGUAGAGGCAGGUGUUGCUAUAUUUCUGAUCCAACCUCCUUUUUAUAUAUGUAUGUACUGGACUCCCUUUCAACACAUCCCCUAUACUGUACAAUGUAUCGUUCAAGGAGUUGCAAUCUGGAUUUGAGACUUUUCUGAUUUCCAUUUGACCUCUUCUCUCAAAUCCUAGCUUGAACUAAAAAAAUUAAUAAAAGGAAUCACACAUUGCCAAAUGACAAUUGCCAACCACACCCUUACAAAAUGUAUAUAUGCUGAAAGGGGGUUUCCUUUUGUGCCAAUGUUUUUUAUACUAUACUUUCAUUCCCUUCAGCUUGUCUUCAGAGCUAGUUUCCUUUUCCUACCUUACCUCAACACUUCUUCAGAGGGUCAGCCAUCAAAUGCUAAAACAGACGGUUAACGACCCACUUCGAGGUCAGAUGAGAAAAACCCAAACGGUGAGACCAGAAGGGAUCCAAGAGGAGCCAAAGAGCAAAUCGAGGAGCCAGGCUUGAAUGUGGCAGUCUGGUACCCCUGCCUGUGGGCUGAGAUUGCAGCGUUGACUUAACGAGACGGCACUGUCAAACUAGCUCUGGAGACAACGCUAUUGAAACUGUGCUCGUGUGCAUUAUGCAAUAUGAGCAUAACCUAUUUUAAUUAAGCAAGUUACUGUACCACCCCCCCACCCCCCCCCCCCCCCCAUUCUACAUUACAGAAGUGCCCGUUCAGUGUCCUAGCCGAUUUUCUUGACUCACGAGGUUGUGCGUCUGUGUUUAAUCUCAUGCAUUUUGCUGAAAUUACAUUCUAUUCAAACAUGUUGAAAAUCAAAUUACAUGCUAUUGGAUGAUCCAUGUUUUUGUUCAGAAGUUCAUUAAUUUUCUUAUUUAUUGAAAUGUAUAAUUUACCUUGAUAAUUGUACAGUAUUUUAUAUAUUCUUAAUAUUAUUGAAAUUGUGAUGCAUUUAUAUUUGGUACAAAUUUGUCCUGAGGGUCAGAUCAGUGGAUUACUUGCUGAGUCAUGCCCUGCUCUUGUAUGUGAUUGGCUCAAUGGCAAAAGCCUGCUCAUGAAUAAUGCUGGAGAGGCGGAGCAUUCUGGUGUACUAAACAUGCAGGCCCCUCCCCUCAGCAUUAUUAGUAUGCAGGUUCAUUUGGUCCCACUAGUUUUGUUAGAGAGUGUGCUUAUUUUCCAUGAUUCCACUGUGUCUAUUUUAAAACUACCCAGCACAUUGUGGACAUUCUUCAUGUUGAAAACCAACAUUCCCCAUACUGGACCAGUUGGUGUGUGUUUUAGCAGAAAAGGUCAGUUUCAGAAAUAGAGUAUUGGUUUAGAAGUGGGAUAAACAGAGCAGUAUGGUAGUUCCAGUUCCUAUUCUUCUGAAUUGAUUCGGAAUUACAGUGCUGCUAUCGCCGUACUGCAGCAGUAGUGGCAGUGCUUCCAGUUUGUAUUUAAUAAGGGGCAGUGGUUCUAAGUGGGCAACACAGAAAGCAGAACAUUACAUUUAACACCAUCACACAUCUUCUGAUCUGUUUUAGCCGAUCCCUGAAGUCCUGGGCAGGAUUUGCAAGGAAUCUGUGUUGUAGAAUACGUUUUUCUAACACUUUAUAAAAAAAUGUUCAACUAAAAGCAUCCUCAUAAUGCAAUUUUGUAACUUGUAUUUUUAAUCUUUCAGCAAAGGUGUGUGUUUGCUUUAUUUAAAAAAGGAAAAAAAAGGAGAAAGACACAGUUGUGCUAUGAGAGCAGAAGACUGUUUCCAGAAUGCAUGUGCAGCAGUGCUGUCUAACAGAGCUAAACCACUGUGCCCCCCUGACACCUUCAGAGAGAGGGGAGGACAACACAGCCAAGCUCAAACCAGUGCUGUGCUUUACAGGGUGCCUCUACACCUCGGACCUGCACCAGGAAUCAUAUCACAGGAACCGGUCAAAGAUGCUGCUUUUAAGAAGGCGUCUUUUACAUCUCAAACGAAUGUCUGUCAUCGGUAUCAUUUAAAUAAUAAUAAUAAAAAAAAUGUAAACAAGA